UUAACUGCGUCGGUCGCGUCCUCCUCCCCACCAAUCGCGCAUCCUCCUACCCACCAAUCCCCCAUCCUCAUCCAGCCCACCAAUCCCCGCCUCCUCCUCCCCACCAACCCUAGCCAUGCCCUCGCCGCCACCUUUCCUUCCCCGUUCAUCCUCUCCAGCAGCCGGCGCCACUUCUGUCUCUCCUCCUUUCUCCUUGUCACCAUCAUCGCGAGUGCCCACCCGUUGGAUCAGGUGGUCAGUGCGGGAUGCAAUAGCGCAUCUGGACGGAGGAGAACGCGACGAUUGCAUCUCCUGGCAACGGCAGGGAGGACGGAUGGAUGAGGAGGCGACAGCUCGAGAGUUUUUAUGGUGGGUGUGAAGGAUCUUGGGAAGGUGAGGAGGACAGAGGUGGGGGAAGGACUGUGAGUCCGGAGAAUCCAGGCUGCACAUAUAAAUCCUCUCCAUCUUCCUCUCCCUUUUGAUUCCCCCAGUUCUCCAGUAAUCUGAUUUUGAUUUCUUAUUUUUUUCCUAAGCACGAUGUGUGCAGAUCUGAGAAAGAAUAGAAGAGGAAGAAUACCAAGGAAGAGUUUGGUGAAGAACAAUAAGGUGACAAUGUGAGUUGCAUUGACAGAAUCCAUGUAUUAAGCUGAGGCAUUUUUGGCAGCUGCAGCAACCUGACAAUUAAUUUGUUCUCAUCCAAGGUAAUUUACUUCCCCCCUUUAUGUAUCAUGGAUGGAUAUAUGUGCUGGUUGGUUGUCAUUACUGAAGCUAGAAUUGUUGAUGAUGACUACCUUUGAGCAGGUUUACCGCUUGUCUUGCUAAUGUGAAUUUGUAUGUUUUCAUUUGUUUUUUCUUCUCCAUUUUUUUGUAUAAUCUAUGGACGUUGUAGGAUAAAUGUGAAUUAACAAUACAAGAACUUCCAGAAAGUAUUUUGCAACUUCAGAAAUCCAAAAUUAUGGUUCUGGUGUUAAUGAUCAGGAUGAUGCGAUAGCCUCUUUUGAUCCGUAUCUACUUUUUUCGAAGCUUGAAAGAUAUACUUGCAGCACUUGACUGAAAUGAUCUAACUUGUGUUUCCCUUUUUUCUUUUCAUUUCCAGAAUGCUUUGCUGCUAGCAUAACUGUGAUCCAUUUUUUACUCUACUUUUUCUUAAUCUAUAUACAUGAUUGCCAAUUUCCAACUUCUUAGUUACAGAAAAUAAAACAAAAUUCAGUUUAGAUGUGUCUGUUGUAGGCAUUAAAAGUUUCAUCAGAGCCCUCAUUCUGAACAUUGUUUAAAAUGACACCCUAUUGCCCUUGGUGCAUAUAUAGAUAUUACUUUUUACUUUUUAGUAGAAUAUGGAGCUCUUAUUUGUCGUAUAGUUUCUUUUUUCGUCUGUGCAGUUGUACAUCUUUGCUGCCCCUUUCCUUGGUGCUGACUGAGCUUUGCAUGUUUAUAUUUAUAUUUUCCUGCAUUCUCCCGGUGACCUUUUAUUUUGACAUAUCAAUGAAUUAUGCAUCUCACUCCUUCGGAAGCUAAUCUUUACAUUGACACUGCUAUUUGUCUUGAAAUCCAAAAUUAUGGUUCUGGUGUUAAUGAUCAGGAUGAUGCGAUAGCCUCUUUUGAUCCGUAUCUACUUUUUUCGAAGCUUGAAAGAUAUACUUGCAGCACUUGACUGAAAUGAUCUAACUUGUGUUUCCCUUUUUUCUUUUCAUUUCCAGAAUGCUUUGCUGCUAGCAUAACUGUGAUCCAUUUUUUACUCUACUUUUCCUUAAUCUAUAUACAUGAUUGCCAAUUUCCAACUUCUUAGUUACAGAAAAUAAAACAAAAUUCAGUUUAGAUGUGUCUGCUGUAGGCAUUAAAAGUUUCAUCAGAGCCCUCAUUCUGAACAUUGUUUAAAAUGACACCCUAUUGCCCUUGGUGCAUAUAUAGAUAUUACUUUUUACUUUUUAGUAGAAUAUGGAGCUCUUAUUUGUCGUAUAGUUUCUUUUUUCGUCUGUGCAGUUGUACAUCUUUGCUGCCCCUUUCCUUGGUGCUGACUGAGCUUUGCAUGUUUAUAUUUAUAUUUUCCUGCAUUCUCCCGGUGACCUUUUAUUUUGACAUAUCAAUGAAUUAUGCAUCUCACUCCUUCGGAAGCUAAUCUUUACAUUGACACUGCUAUUUGUCUUGAUCUUAUUUGUACCAUGGAGGAGAAUAACUCUUUAGACCCUACUGUAUGAUUGGUCUCACCUUAUUCCUUUUAGAUGGAUGCUAUGGUCUUCCCUGCAGAUGCUGGCCAGUUAAGGUUUGUUGCAAAUAAUAGUGGAUGUUGGGCUGCCUCCACACCGCAAGAGAUGGAGAUGGUUGACGUCGGAACCGGUGGUUGAGGUCGAGUACGCCUCGUUGUCGUCGCCGUCUACAUCCGUUACGUGUGAGGAACUUGCUGUUUCUGGCACCAGAUUCAGCAAGGAGGAUAUCUAUGAGGCCUUUCAUUCUUGUGGGAUUCCCACACAUCUUGCAAGUUCAAGGGGGUGAGCUCAGCUGAAUGCGCGGCGACGUACUGUACCUUUGCAAGCCGAGUAUCUUGCUCUAAUUUGUUGACAGGGUAAGAGAGGGCUCAAGAAAGAGACAAGAACUUGUGCUUCAAGCAGCGAAUAUAGCCAGCCUAGAUGAUUCAAAACAAGAACAAGUGUCGGGAAGUUACAGAUGAGGAAGUGCAGCUGGCUACUAUGUGCAUGUCAGGGACAGAAGUUGCUAGAGAAAGCUCCGACAUUAUAAUCUUAGAUGAUGACUUCGCAUCUGUUGUGAAGGGCAAAUCUUCACUGAAUCUUGGAGAGUGAUGGAAGAUAAUGGGCCCAAGCUUUUAGGAACGCCAAGGAUCCAAUUUCAAGCUUUGGCCUCUUCCACAAAUUCGCCGUUCAAUCAGGAGCCACCUAGGUGAUCAUUGCAUAGGUCUACUGGAAAUUGGUCCUAGAGGAGCUCUCCAUGAAGUUUCUACAAGAACCAAAAUCAAUCCUACAAGCAUCAGAUAUAUCAGAGGAAGCAUGGUUCCCAAGUGCAUUGCUUAAUAUUCAUGAAUGUUGUCUACAACCAUGGCCUUCCCAAAACAAGACAACACAAUUAUUCUCUGGAGGGACAAGGGAUCUGAUGAUUAUCCAGUGAACUGUAUGUCUUUGAAGGAGCUUUGCACUCAACAGAUGUAUACAUCUUUAAUCAAACUAAGAGUGGGAGAUAUGCAUAAACAUUUUUUGGGAUACAUAACCACUCUUCGAACCUUA